rnacentral:rRNA from 1 species
UACGUAGGGCGCAAGCGUUGUCCGGAAUUAUUGGGCGUAAAGAGCUCGUAGGCGGCUUGUCACGUCGGUUGUGAAAGCCCGGGGCUUAACCCCGGGUCUGCAGUCGAUACGGGCAGGCUAGAGUGUGGUAGGGGAGACUGGAAUUCCUGGUGUAGCAGUGAAAUGCGCAGAUAUCAGGAGGAACACCGGUGGCGAAGGCGGGUCUCUGGGCCGAUACUGACGCUGAGGAGCGAAAGCGUGGGGAGCAAACAGG